CAUAAUUGGUAAUUUAUAGCAUAAUUUUAAGAUGGCAUGUAAAAAGUCAGUUAAAAUCCCAAACUUUUUACCAUUUCCUUCCAUUAUUGCCUCUCUCCCCUCUAACACACCGGCCUCUUUCUUUAUCCCAAAAAAAACCCUAUCACAUGCCUUGAGUCUUCAAUUGCAAUUGAAGCGUCUUGCCUUCCGGCGGUUUCCAUCGCCCCCUCUACUGUAUAAUACCUAUACAUAUUAGAGAAAAAAAGAGAGUUGAUGGAGCUACAGAUGCAGAAAGAGAGAAUAUGAGGGAUCCGGUCGGUGGUUCCAACGACCGGUCUACAGCGGCAUAGCCACCACCACGACAACAUCAGCGACAGACAGAGUAGUCUUUCGUCACCACGCUUGGUUUUAAACCCUAAUUUUUAUUGAAUAUGUUUUUAAUACCUUGUCUUUUCAUCACAUGAUCUGUUUAUUUUUGGUUUCUUUUACAAGCUCAUAUUUGUGUUGGUUUUGUUAAAUCAGUUAUCAGUUACUCAAUUUAUAAGGUUAAGUGUGUUUAUCAACUAUAUUGCAGUAAGUGUUUGCUUCAUCAAGAUGUUCACAGGGUUCUAUUAAUGGAGAUAUCUAGGUUUAAUAUUAGGGGUAAAAAAGAUGCAAAUGGAGGAGGGUUAGUUUGUUGAUUUCCGACAGAGUGAGGGCUCCGGCCACCUUUCUGUUUCUGGUGACUUUCGGCGACUUGAUUUUGUUCCGACGGCACCACCGAAAAACAUCUCUAAGCCGCCAUCACCGCAAUUGUUCAUUUUCUGGAGGAAGGUUGUCGGUUUUGGAUUUUUGCCAAACCGUUCUCUCUGUGGUGGUUUAAGGAGCUGAUAUCGUUGUUUCCUAUGGGUGCCAAAAAUACUACCAAGGUGACCCCAUUUUUAUGCUCUGAUACGAAAGAGCCAACAUGCUCUCAUUAAUCCUGCUGUAAUAAUAGUUCUUCGCCUGGGUGCUGUUGGACAUGGUGCUUCUCGUUUGCGUAAUCAAGAUGGAUACUUGUGGUUGUUCUUAGUGAUGGAUGGAUGGACAUCAUGAUACUGGUUCUAAAAUUUGCAAGGUCGGAAACAGAAAUAAAUCAAGAGGAACCCUCAUGUUUAUUGCUUCGGUAUCAUCAUUUACCAUAAAUGCAUGUGAUCUUUUCUCUUUUUUUUUUUUACUUUACGAACAUUCAGUUGGUUUUUGAGUUGUCAUUUUGUCGUGUGUAAAACGAUCCACGUCACAAUUAUUCUUUAUCUGAUAUAUCGAUUAAAUAAAAAAAUUGGGAUGAAUUUUACAUCCUAAAACAUGGAUACAAUUUGAUUCAA